UGAGCUGCUCUUCACGGGGCCCCUCCAUCCUGCGUCUGCCUUAAGCAACUGACCAUGAGCCUUGGCAGCAGGCCCUCCAGUAAAGGAGAAUGACACCCGUGCGCUGCUCUCGCGGUGGCCCCUUCUUCCCCGCCCAAGAGCCGCUGUCACCACACUUGGAUAUCACAGAAAUCUCACUGGAGCUGCCACUUCCUAUCUUUCAACCCCUGUCCAGAGAGACAUUACUAGUCUAGACAUCCAAAUCAGCCACCCGUUUUUGUUUUUCUGGACGACAGCAAGCAUGCAGAUUACUGGCUCUGACAAAGAAGGUGGCAAUCAGAGGUCUCUGGUACAUUUGGGAAUAAAUCCGGUUUCGAGUCCAGUAGGACCCAGAGGUCUUCGCCAUCCCCCUAAGAUUAAUGGACUCUGAAGGAUGCCAUGAUAAGGAGGCAGUAGAGGAAAUGAACUUCUCUCAGUCCUAUGAUGAUUUCAGUAGUUAACAUUUUUUGAGCAGCGACAACAAAUGGCAUUGCUCAGGCUCUCUGCCUUGUGUGCUACCUCCUUUGCACCUGAUAAACAAUUCUGUGAGUGAAGAAGCACAGUCAAACCAGGCAUGUCAGAGUUCUCACUGAUCUCUCCAUGGAUGCCACUUCAGAUGGAGAAAGUCUGGAGAAGGAACCCUUAGCUCUUGUCCACAUGGAAGAUGAUCCCAGGCCUUUCACCACUUCCAGGAGCUGUUACUUGGCUAAUUAUGCCAAUCGUCAAGAGCAAAUCUAAAAAGCGAAUAUAAGAGUUUUACAUUUUUCAGCUUUGGGUUCUGGGAGAGUUGCUAGAAGUUUCCAGAAACCUCACACUGUAUCACAAAAAUAUGAGACAUUUCAAGGAAAAAUCCAUUUUCUAUCUAUGAACCUAAAAGUCAUCCAAAAGGAACACAAGAAGUUGAAGGUCACCCAUAAGACCAGGCCAGUUUUCCAAAAACCUUCUUUGGGUUUUUGGGAAGACUCUGAUCUGAUACUAUUUGAAAAUCUGGACACUACUUGGGUAACAAUAUUAUUCUUAAUAAUAAGGAGAAAAAAAACAGGUUCACUUAUGUACGUGAAAGUUAAUCCAGAAAGAGGGUUAUUUAAAUACUCUUCAAUGUCUCCUCUUUGUGUGUGUGUGUGUAUGAAAACCAGAAUAAGAUGAUAAAUAAAGAAUACAAAAUAAUACCAACGCAUUAGACAAGAAAAACAGGUAAACGGACAAAAACAGAUGAAAAUUGUCAAUUGUUGGAAGCUGAAUGGCCAGCUUUAUGCCAACUGGACAGGUACAUUUAUAAAUACUUUGACACAUACCUCUGUUCCAGUAAAAGAUAAGACACAAAACCAGA